AUGAAGCCGCCGCGAUGUCCACCCCGUGCCCCCUUACUUCAGGAGGCGACUUCUCUGUCAUCUUCUCCGGAUGCUGGCCAUGUUCUUCUCUCCUCAGGCGCGCAGCAGGUCAGGGGCAGCUCGAGAGCUCCGACCAUGGAGAGGUGGAUCUUGGGCGGGCGCAGCUGCCUGCAGAGACUGAGAAGCUCGAGCGCUCCAGCCCCGACCUGGAGGAGGUGGAUGGUGGAUGGGGCAGCUGCUUCGACUAGUGGAGCGCUGCAGCCCGUACAUGGAGGCGGCGGAUCCCGGGUGGCGCAGCAGCUCUGUACCGCCAUGAGUGUGCCACACAUAGGCGGAGGCAGCAGACCGGGACGUCGCAGGCUCGUAGUGGAGAGCUCGUAA
rnacentral:rRNA from 1 species